AUAAAAACGUGUAGGAGCCAAGUAGGUCAUUUUUGCGCUAACAGUGAGUUGGGGAAUAGUGGAAACCCGACAAGCGGCAAUUUGAUUGAAUAACCCUCCUUAAAGUUUCAGGCUGAAAUGUAGCGCGCACAAAGUAGGCCUCGACGUUACCGGAACGUUAUCACCGGCGCGCAUGUUAGUGCGUUUAGUAGAGGUGGUCCGCAAUUGCGGGCAACUUGGGUGGUACCGCGAAAAGUCUUUCGUCCCUUGU
rnacentral:ncRNA from 2 species